CCAGUACCGUCAACUAUUGUGUUAAAAAUCCUGGUAUCCUACAGAAUAUGUCAUCCAAAUGACAGAGUGGAUUCAUUACUAUUAUCGGCUGAAUCAUUCUAUGGGACUUAUUGCCAGAUCACCAGCAACCCAAGCAUGGAACAAUUUCUCAUUCCAUCUUCAGAGAACCUUACAUAACCGAUUGGUGGUUAAGUGUAUCAUAGACAUCAAGCACAUUGAUCAUUGAUAUGCCACAAAUUACAGACAAGGGUAUAAUCCUUCGCUACUGAUCACAUCCACUGGUGAAAACCGACGAGAGAAUGCUGUAAUCCAAGACUGAUACAUUGUGUAGUUGUUAGAUAAAUGACAAGUGCAUAUC